ensembl:snoRNA SNORD58 Small nucleolar RNA SNORD58
CUGCGGUGAUGACUCUCUUAGGACACCUUUGGAUGUAACCGUGAAAAGAAAGCGAAAUUCCUGAGCGGC